UACGAAGGGGGCUAGCGUUGUUCGGAAUCACUGGGCGUAAAGGGCGCGUAGGCGGCUUUGUAAGUCGGGGGUGAAAGCCUGUGGCUCAACCACAGAAUUGCCUUCGAUACUGCAUGGCUUGAGACCGGAAGAGGUUAGUGGAACUGCGAGUGUAGAGGUGAAAUUCGUAGAUAUUCGCAAGAACACCAGUGGCGAAGGCGGCUCACUGGCCCGGAACUGACGCUGAGGUGCGAAAGCGUGGGGAGCAAACAGG
rnacentral:rRNA from 1 species